UACGUAUUAAUAUAUAUUGUAUACAUUUAGAAAGUGAUGUUUCGUUGAAUUUUCAUAGCUUUUGUACCCAAUGUACUUUUCAUUAAAAUGCCCAACUAAUAUAUUGAAAGAAGAUGCACGGUAUUAUGAAAAAGUCCUAGAGGAAACCGUUUGGAUCUAUGUUUAUGUUAUAUAACAAUCCGGUUUACAGCGUUUGCGUUCCUAUAAAACGAACUAGUGAAUGCCUAUAGUCCAUACGUUAAACGCGGAGUUGUAGUCAGCAAGACAUGACGCCGAGUUGACGCGAUGAGUUGAUAAAUACAACGUGUUUUUCUUCAUAAUAUUUUUAUUAAUAGAUACAGACAAUUUGGAAAUAGUAUUUCGUGAAUACUGCUCGCAAAUCGCUAUUAUGACGAUGAACAAACACAAGGCAAUGGAGUGCCCUCCGAUUAACAACGCCGAUAUGAAUGGAGACGAGUGGCGAAAAAUGAGCUUCACGUCCAAGGCGGCGCACUUGGCCCGGAACGUGACGGUAGAACCGUUGUUGGCGUUCUUCCAGCUAUCCAUGAUCAUAUCCAGCCUGACCACGCAAAACCUGAACAUGCAAAAGGCUUGUCGGGUAAACCUCGGUCUGGGCGAUAAGGUGUGUUUUGCCCUGGAGAACAAGAACGCCUCGUUUUACCGUGACGAAGAAAUGUCAGUGCAGCUGCUAGUGACCAAGAUGAUGCUCUGGCAGAGCCCUUUCCAGAACAUGGUACCGUGCUUCCUGGUCAUGUUCGUCGGCUCGUGGAGCGACCGGAACCAGAAGCGAAAACCGCUCAUGCUGUUACCAAUACUCGGUGAACUGGUGCGCAACGUCGGCCUGGUCAUUUGCGUGUACUUCUUCAAGGAGCUGCCUAUGGAGGUAGCAGGUUUCGUCGAGUCGGUCCCAUCGGCAGUUACCGGUGGCUUACCGGUACUGAUGGUCGCUAUAUUCGCGUUCGUGGGCGACAUAAGCACGGUUAAAAAUAGAACUGUUCGAGUUGGCUUCGUAAGUUUAAUAUUUUCGAUCACUAUCACCAUUGGAACAGCGUUAUCCGGUAUCAUGUUUCGAGAUUACGGGUUUUACGGAGUGUACUUUAUAUCCACUGUAUUGUAUUUGUUCAGCUUCAUAUACUGUAUAAUUGUCAUCAAAGAUGUUAAGCCUGACGUGGUAGAAAAAUACCAUGAGCCCAAUAUUGCCAUUGGAUACCACAAAAAAUCAGUUUUUCGUUCCAUAACCGAUUUCUUUAACUUGAAACACGUAAAAGAAGCUCUUCGAGUUACAUUUAAGCGAGGAGACGACAAUAACAGAAGAACGGACAUUAUAUUGUUGUUUGUUAUCAUGGUCAUUAUUAUGGGUCCUCUAAGUGGUGAACAAACAUUGAUGUAUUUGUUGGUACGAGUUAAAUUCAAUUGGAAUGAAGUAGAUUUCAGUUUUUUCUCCACGUAUUACUUUAUUUGUAAUCUCGUAGGUAUUGGAUUUACAUUGUGGAUUCUGGUUAAUCGUUUUGGUAUUGACGACAGACUGCUGGGAGCAAUCGGAUGUCUGAGCAAAGGAUUAGCUUCAUUCGUCUACGCCUGUGCCCCGACCGAAUUCUUAUUCUACCUAGGCCCGAUUGUGGACAUUUUCCAUGGUACAUCACUUGUUGCAUUUAGGUCGAUACUCUCAAAACUUGUUCCUGCAAACCAACUAGGUCAGGCGUUGGCGGUAUCUUCACUCAUCGAAACUAUAGUUCCUGCAAUAUUCAGACCUCUCUACAAUGUGAUUUAUUAUAAAACAAUACACUUUCUACCUGGAGCAUUUUACUUACUCGGGGGAAUGCUCAAUGUUUCCGGCAUCUUUGUUUUUCUAUGGAUGUACAACCGUACAAAAGGAAGAACGUAAACAUGAAAAUCUCAGAAAGUCUAAAGUUACAAAACUGAUUUAACUAUAAAGGUUCUCAUCACAUUGGAUUCCCGCAAGACUUUUAUACCAACUUCCCUUUUCAUAUGGAUGUACAAAAAACACAAACAAAAUGAAAAAUGUGAAGACUUUGAAGAGAAACAAGCCUUAUCAGGAGAGCCUAACAGUCAAAAUCUGUAAAAUUACACUGAAAUGUACAAAAAAAAUAUAUUGUUUUAAAUUAUUUUAUCAUGUAGAAUAGUUAAUUUAUUUCCCAUACACUUUUUUUAUUGUAUAUUAUUUUACUAGUAAAUAUUAGAUACUUGUGCAAGCCAAUUUUAUUUAUAAGUAUUUAUAUUACUUCAAUUUAUAUUAGCUAAGUUAAAAACACCUUUGCUAGAACCAAUUUUGGUGAGUUUAAAUUAGGUUUUACUUGUUGAAUAUUUUAUAAUUUAUAUUCGCACACUCAUAAUAUAUUGUUAAUUGUUAUCGUUAGAAAUAUAAAUAUUAAACGCUAGAA